rnacentral:rRNA from 1 species
AGUGAACGCUGGCGGUAGGCCUAACACAUGCAAGUCGAACGGCAGCACAGUAAGAGCUUGCUCUUACGGGUGGCGAGUGGCGGACGGGUGAGGAAUACAUCGGAAUCUACUUUUUCGUGGGGGAUAACGUAGGGAAACUUACGCUAAUACCGCAUACGACCUACGGGUGAAAGCAGGGGAUCUUCGGACCUUGCGCGAUUGAAUGAGCCGAUGUCGGAUUAGCUAGUUGGCGGGGUAAAGGCCCACCAAGGCGACGAUCCGUAGCUGGUCUGAGUGGAUGAUAGGCCACACUGGAACUGAGACACGGUCCAGACUCCUACGGGAGGCAGCAGUGGGGAAUAUUGGACAAUGGGCGCAAGCCUGAUCCAGCCAUACCGCGUGGGUGAAGAAGGCCUUCGGGUUGUAAAGCCCUUUUGUUGGGAAAGAAAAGCAGCAGGCUAAUACCCCGCUGUUCUGACGGUACCCAAAGAAUAAGCACCGGCUAACUUCGUG